rnacentral:rRNA from 1 species
AGUGAACGCUGGCGGUAGGCCUAACACAUGCAAGUCGAACGGCAGCACAGUAAGAGCUUGCUCUUACGGGUGGCGAGUGGCGGACGGGUGAGGAAUACAUCGGAAUCUACUUUUUCGUGGGGGAUAACGUAGGGAAACUUACGCUAAUACCGCAUACGACCUACGGGUGAAAGCAGGGGAUCUUCGGACCUUGCGCGAUUGAAUGAGCCGAUGUCGGAUUAGCUAGUUGGCGGGGUAAAGGCCCACCAAGGCGACGAUCCGUAGCUGGUCUGAGAGGAUGAGCAGCCACACUGGAACUGAGACACGUGCCAGACUCCUACGGGAGGCAGCAGUGGGGAAUAUUGGACAAUGGGCGCAAGCCUGAUCCAGCCAUACCGCGUGGGUGAAGAAGGCCUUCGGGUUGUAAAGCCCUUUUGUUGGGAAAGAAAAGCAGCAGGUUAAUACCCCGCUGUUCUGACGGUACCCAAAGAAUAAGCACCGGCUAACUUCGUG